rnacentral:rRNA from 1 species
CCCUAGUAUUUGAUUAUUUAAUAAGGAAGGAAUAUGAUAAGAAAAUUAAAAAUUUUGGCGGUUAAUUUGGAAUUAGAGGAGCUUGUUUGAAGUGAGAAUUUGCUCUUUAUAUUUUAUUAAAAUUUUGUUUAUUCAUCUCCGUUAUUAGAGAAUUGUUACUAUGAAAAUAGCUUUUUAGUAGCUAUUAUAUCAGGUCAAGAUGUAGCCUAAAUUAAUUAAAAUUAGCUACAGUUUUGAAUAAUUGGAUUUAUAGAGGAGAACUUAAGUAUAAUGAAAUUGAAUCUGAUUGUAAUAGUGUUUAGAAAAAUAUUAUGAAUAUGAAUAAUUGAUGUA